rnacentral:rRNA from 1 species
CCUACGGGUGGCAGCAGUGAGGAAUAUUGGUCAAUGGACGAGAGUCUGAACCAGCCAAGUAGCGUGAAGGAUGACUGCCCUAUGGGUUGUAAACUUCUUUUAUAUGGGAAUAAAAUGUUCCACGUGUGGGAUUUUGUAUGUACCAUAUGAAUAAGGAUCGGCUAACUCCGUGCCAGCAGCCGCGGUAAUACGGAGGAUCCGAGCGUUAUCCGGAUUUAUUGGGUUUAAAGGGAGCGUAGGUGGAUUGUUAAGUCAGUUGUGAAAGUUUGCGGCUCAACCGUAAAAUUGCAGUUGAAACUGGCAGUCUUGAGUACAGUAGAGGUGAGCGGAAUUCGUGGUGUAGCGGUGAAAUGCUUAGAUAUCACGAAGAACACCGAUUGCGAAGGCAGUUCACUGGACUGCAACUGACACUGAGGCUCGAAAGUGCGGGUAUCAAACAGGAUUAGAUACCCGUGUAGUC